rnacentral:rRNA from 1 species
AGUUGGGCACUUUAAUGAGACUGCCGGUGACAAACCGGAGGAAGGUGGGGAUGACGUCAAGUCCUCAUGGCCCUUAUGGGUAGGGCUUCACACGUCAUACAAUGGUCGGUCCAGAGGGUUGCCAACCCGCGAGGGGGAGCCAAUCUCAGAAAGCCGAUCGUAGUCCGGAUCGCAGUCUGCAACUCGACUGCGUGAAGUCGGAAUCGCUAGUAAUCGCGGAUCAGCAUGUCGCGGUGAAUACGUUCCCGGGUCUUGUACACACCGCCCGUCACACCAUGGGAGCGGGUUCUGCCAGAAGUAGUUAGCCUAACCGCAAGGAGGGCGAUUACCACGGCAGGGUUCGUGACUGGGGUGAAGUCGUAACAAGGUAGCCGUAGGGGAACUGC